rnacentral:rRNA from 1 species
CGCGUAGGUGGUUUUUUAAGUCGGAUGUGAAAUCCCCGGGCUUAACCUGGGUCGGUCAUUCGAUACUGGAAAACUAGAGUAUGGUAGAGGGUAGUGGAAUUCCUAGUGUAGCGAUGAAAUGCGUAGAGAUUAGGAGGAACACCAGUGGCGAAGGCGACUGCCUGGACUGAUACUGACACUGAGGUGCGAAAGCGUGGGUAGCGAACA